rnacentral:misc_RNA from 1 species
AACGCACAUUGCGCCCUCUGGUAUUCCGGGGGGCAUGCCUGUUCGAGCGUCAUUACAACCCUCAAGCACUGCUUGGUGUUGGGCUCGCCCUGUAGGGCCUGCCUCAAAGUCAGUGGCGGCACCGUCUGACCCUAAGCGUAGUAAUACUCGCCGCUUGUGGACUCAGUGCGUGGCCUGCCAGCCAACCCCCACCAUCAAGGUUGACCUCGGAUCAGGUAGGGAUACCCGCUGAACUUAA